UACGUAAGGGGGCUAGCGUUGUCCGGAAUCAUUGGGCGUAAAGCGCGCGUAGGCGGCCCGGUAAGUCCGCUGUGAAAGUCAAAGGCUCAACCUUUGAAUGUCAGCGGAUACUGCCGGGCUAGAGUCCGGAAGAGGCGAGUGGAACUCCUGGUGUAGCGGUGGAAUGCGCAGAUAUCAGGAAGAACACCAACGGCGAAGGCAGCUCGCUGGGACGGAACUGACGCUAAGGCGCGAAAAGCGUGGGGAGCGAACAGG
rnacentral:rRNA from 1 species